UUCGUGGCAAGGUUAAGUCGACAGACGAAGCCACAUGGAAACCGAGUCUGAACAGGGCGUUCAGUCGCGGGGCGUAGACCCGAAACCGAGUGAUCUAUCCAUGGCCAGGCUGAAGCGCGGGUAACACCGCGUGGAGGGCCGGACCCACCAUAGUUGAAAAUAUGGGGGAUGAGCUGUGGAUGGGGGUGAAAGGCCAAUCAAACUCGGAGAUAGCUGGUUCUCCCCGAAACAUAUUUAGGUAUGGCCUUAGGUCAUGCGUCGCGGGGGUAAAGCACUGGAUGGGGCUAGGGGUCACACCAGAUUACCAAACCCAACCAAACUCUGAAUACCGACGACGUCCUAUCCUAGGAGUCAGCCUGAGGGUGAUAACGUCCUCAGACAAAAGGGAAAGAACCCUGACCGACAGCUAAGGUCCCCAAGUUAUGGCUAAGUGGUGAAGGAUGUGGGAGCACAUUGACAACCAGGAGGUUGGCUUAGAAGCAGCCAUCCUUAAAAGAAAGCGUAAUAGCUCACUGGUCAAGUGAACCUGCGCCGAAAAUAUAACGGGG
rnacentral:rRNA from 1 species